AGAGUUUGAUCCUGGCUCAGAACGAACGCUGGCGGCAGGCUUAACACAUGCAAGUCGAACGAUGUAGCAAUACAUAGUGGCGCACGGGUGAGUAACGCGUGGGAAUAUACCUUAUAGUGGGGAAUAACUUUGGGAAACUAAAGCUAAUACCGCAUACGCCCGAGAGGGGAAAGAUUUAUCGCUAUAAGAUUAGCCCGCGUGAGAUUAGGUAGUUGGUGGGGUAAUGGCCUACCAAGCCUACGAUCUCUAGCUGGUCUGAGAGGAUGAUCAGCCACACUGGAACUGAGACACGGUCCAGACUCCUACGGGAGGCAGCAGUGGGGAAUAUUGGGCAAUGGACGAAAGUCUGACCCAGCCAUGCCGCGUGAAUGAUGAAGGCCUUAGGGUUGUAAAGUUCUUUCGCCGAUGAAGAUAAUGACGGUAGUCGGAGAAGAAGCCCCGGCUAACUUCGUGCCAGCAGCCGCGGUAAUACGAAGGGGGCUAGCGUUGUUCGGAAUUACUGGGCGUAAAGCGAGCGUAGGUUGCUCGAUAAGUCAGUGGUGAAAGCCCAGAGCUCAACUCUGGAACUGCCAUUGAAACUGUCGAGCUGGAAUCUCAGAGGGGGUAGCGGAAUUCCAAAUGUAGGGGUGAAAUCCGUAGAUAUUUGGAGGAACACCGGUGGCGAAGGCGGCUACCUGGAUGAGUAUUGACACUGAGGCUCGAAAGCGUGGGGAUCAAACAGGAUUAGAUACCCUGGUAGUCC
rnacentral:rRNA from 1 species